rnacentral:rRNA from 1 species
GAUGCGCCAUGCCGCGUGUGUGAAGAAGGCCUUCGGGUUGUAAAGCACUUUCAGUCGUGAGGAAGGUGGUGGUGUUAAUAGCUGUAUCAUUUGACGUUAGCGACAGAAGAAGCACCGGCUAACUCCGUGCCAGCAGCCGCGGUAAUACGGAGGGUGCGAGCGUUAAUCGGAAUUACUGGGCGUAAAGCGCAUGCAGGUGGUUUGUUAAGUCAGAUGUGAAAGCCCGGGGCUCAACCUCGGAAUAGCAUUUGAAACUGGCAGACUAGAGUACUGUAGAGGGGGGUAGAAUUUCAGGUGUAGCGGUGAAAUGCGUAGAGAUCUGAAGGAAUACCGGUGGCGAAGGCGGCCCCCUGGACAGAUACUGACACUCAGAUGCGAAAGCGUGGGGAGCAAACAGGAUUAGAUACCCUGGUAGUCCACGCCGUAAACGAUGUCUACUUGGAGGUUGUGGCCUUGAGCCGUGGCUUUCGGAGCUAACGCGUUAAGUAGACCGCCUGGGGAGUACGGUCGCAAGAUUAAAACUCAAAUGAAUUGACGGGGGCCCGCACAAGCGGUGGAGCAUGUGGUUUAAUUCGAUGCAACGCGAAGAACCUUACCUACUCUUGACAUCCAGAGAACUUUCCAGAGAUGGAUUGGUGCCUUCGGGAACUCUGAGACAGGUGCUGCAUGGCUGUCGUCAGCUCGUGUUGUGAAAUGUUGGGUUAAGUCCCGCAACGAGCGCAACCCUUAUCCUUGUUUGCCAGCACUUCGGGUGGGAACUCCAGGGAGACUGCCGGUGAUAAACCGGAGGAAGGUGGGGACGACGUCAAGUCAUCAUGGCCCUUACGAGUAGGGCUACACACGUGCUACAAUGGCGCAUACAGAGGGCAGCCAACUUGCGAGAGUGAGCGAAUCCCAAAAAGUGCGUCGUAGUCCGGAUCGGAGUCUGCAACUCGACUCCGUGAAGUCGGAAUCGCUAGUAAUCGUGGAUCAGAAUGCCACGGUGAAUACGUUCCCGGGCCUUGGACACACCGCCCGUCACACCAUGGGAGUGGGCUGCAAAAGAAGUAGGUAGUUUAACCUUCGGGAGGACGCUUACCAUUG